GUUGCACACUGUUAAAGCCUGGCACUACUGUUGGUGUGUGGGUGUCGGAAGUGUGCUAAAGGAAGCUGGCCCGGUUUUCGCUGACACCAUGAGGGCUGUAGCCCUAUGACUGGGGUUAGAUAGUGACCAGGGCCACACUU